CUCACAGUCAUACUAUUUGCUUCCUGUUUCACAAAAUGGGCUUCCGGGGCAGUGUCUGACCAGAGUCCCACAACUCCUAAUUGCUACUCCAAAAGCAAUCUUUUGAGGGCUAUUCUCAGGUAACCGAACAUGGAUUUGGCCCUCACUGAACCCUCCUGAAGCAUGCAUAAUUAUCAUGGCCGGGUGUGCUCCUGGCAGCUCCAAACAAAAGGGCCAAGAAAGCCUGGGGGGAAGCCCUGGAACUGUGAGCCAAAGUAAACCUUCCCUCCUUUAAACCUACAGUCUCAGGUACUGUGUCACAGCAAUGCGAGCUUAAUCAAAAUGAUCCCCUUACAUGCUUUCUCUUCUUUGUAUGGAGGCUGGGUCCCACUAUAAAGCCCAAGCUACCCUCACAUCUGAGAAUCCCCUGCCUCGGUCUCCCGAGUGCUGGAAUCACAGGCAUGUUACCAUCCCGGGCCUGGCUAGACACCCUCUCUUAGCGUGUGUCAUGAUGAGUAGCCACAUCUCUCUCCUCCACGCAGCCAGCUGUGCGAGUGGCUUCCUGGGCAUUCCAAGCUGAGCAUACCCUGUAGCCUUCCACCAUGAGCUACGUUCUCCUUUCCAGACUGUCUGAGAUCGUCCUCUGGGGCACGAAAAACUCGGCAACUGACAAAAAGUUGCUCAGUUUAGCCUCAUUUAGGGGUGAUUCCCCAAAUAUAUCCAGCCCCACCCCAUCGUUGAAAUAUCAACUCAGGGAAAGAUCUGCUCAUUCCACUGUCUCCCUCACAUUCCAACAAAGAAGAGCUGAUACAGGAAGAAAGAAUUCUGCCUUGGGAAAACCGAGGCCCUCGGCAGCCGCUGAGCUCACGCUGCAAUUAAUCACGUUUUCUUUAUGACCUACAUUCUAUUAAUAACCCGCAUGAUGAUUUAGCAUGUGCCCUUGGUGACGGAUGCCACCCUCAAUGACUACGACUGGGUCACUGACUUGAAGGACCUUACCUCACUGCCCACGGCCCUGACUGACCUGCCUCUGAAGCUAUGCUGGGGGCCCAGGGGAAAGGGCUACAGGAACACCACACGUGCCGGGGGAGGGGGAGGGGGAGCUAAGGGGGCUGGGGAGGAUGCUGUUCUUCCAGCCUGCAGUCAGCCCAGGUAGGCUGCAUGGCUCACGGGCAGACCUCCUCGACGAAGCUGCUUAGAGAAAGCAACCCUGUGUGACCGUUUCACACGCAGCAGAUUGGCCAAAAUGUCAGAGUCUGAUGCCACCAACUGUGCUAGUGCUGGAGCCAGGGGAACUCUCAGUCACUGUGGGUGGUGACAGAGCUGGAACAAACGCUUUUGAAAAGAAAGUUGGCAAAUUUCUUUCUUUCUUUCCUUUUUUUUUUUUUUUCCCUUUUGGAACAGGGUCUCACUGUGUGGCCCAAGUCAGCCUCCAGAAUGCAGGGACUGCAGGCCACAGCUACAGUCCUGCAACCUCUCGCAAAGGCAAAAGUUACUUCAGCGGCAGACAUCUUCAUUCUCCCACUGACUUGUGUUCAGGGCUCCGUGGAAACUCCCAUUGGAAGGACAAGCAUAGGUUGUCUGUUUUGCUCUGCGUGUGUAUAAGCCACUCUUUUCAACUCCUGACGACUGAGCCACCAAACCCUUAGAGCGACCUGUUCCCCUAGCACCCACAUUCCUGCCUGUCCACUGUGAAACUGGGUAUCCGAUAGCCCAAGAUAGCCUUGGACUCAGGAUGUAGCUGAGGAUAACCUUGAACUCCUCAUCCUCCUGCCUCUACUGCCUGACUGGCUGAUUGACCGUAGGCAUGUCAGUGACAGCACAUACUGAAAUCAGAGGACAUGUGAGGGAACUGCCUCUUUCCUUCUACCAUGUGGGUCCUGGGGAUCAAACUCAGGUCAGUAAGCUUGCAGCAGGCACCUUUACCGGUGACAUCUCUUGCCGGCCACCCUCUCAACAGAUCAGAUGUCCUGGUUAGUUGUUAUGUCAGCCUGACACAGGUUAGGCUGGGAAGAGGGAACAUCAAUUGAGGGAACGCCUCCACUAGGCUGGCCUGUGAGCAAACUUAUGGGGUAUUUUCCUGAUUAAUGGUUGAUGUGGGUGGGCCCAUUCCACAGGGGGCAGUGUGCCAUUCGGGGGUGGCUAGCCCUGGAUGGCAUAACAAAUGGAGCUGAGCAAGCCUUAAGUAAACGGCACUGCUCCGUGGCCUCUGUGUGAGUUUCUGUCUCCAGGUUCCUGCCCUGCCUGAGUUUCUGAUCUGACUUUCUUGGAUGAUGGACUACAAACUGUAAGACAAAGUUAACCCUUUCCUCCUCAAACUGCUUUUGGUUACAGCAUUUUAUCAGAGCAAUAGGAACUCUAGCUAAGACACCGAGAUAAACUUCAUUCAAGAUCUCAUGGCAGAAAGGCGCUGAAACCAGGGGAUUCAAAUCCAAAGCCACCAACAAGGGCAGCGGUGGCGCACACCUUUAUUCCCAGCACUUUCAAGAAGAAGCAGGUGGAGUUUGAGGCCAGCCUGGUCUACAGAUGCAGGACAGCCAGGGAUACACGGAGAAACCCUGUCUCAGAAACAAAACAAAACCAACCCAGUCUGAGCUACAUAGUGAGAUUGUCUCAAACAAAACAUGUCAAUCACUCAAUCAAUCAAUCAACCUCUCUCAACGAAACCACCACCAAUACAACAGGGAGGAGAACAGGCCUGCUCUUCACCCUACUGCCUAUCCCUAAGAAGACAUCAAAGGCUCAGAGACGCACAAGUGAACAGGAAAACAAACUCACUGAGCACGGAACAGCACAGGAGUACAGCUACAUCACCUGGGGCAGCCAUGGCAUCUUUGCUCCUUUGUUUAGCUUCAGUCUAUUUGAGACAGGACCUCACUACGAAGCCUAGGCUAGCCCGGAACUCACUAUGUAGAGCCCAGGGUUAUGACGCCUUAUCCAAGGAUGCUGGGAAAGGUUUGCACCUUCGCCUUUCUCAGCUUGGAAUGCUGAUGUGACAGCUAGAUUUGAGAUGGUCCCCUUCUGUCCACAGAAGAGAUGGGGGUUCCUCUGGGAACCCUGGCUUCUUGACAAAGGUGGGUGCAGCAGCCAUCUUGUGGGUAUAGGUUGGUGAUAGCAUGAGCUAUGCUGGAGUUGACCUGCCACCUUCUCUUUCCAGUGUUGUUUUGCGGGUUGAAAUGACAGGUCUGUGAAUGGAGAUGCUCACAGUCAAAUGCACGAGACGCCUGGAAGCCAUGCUCUAGCAGUUGUGGGCUGCUCCAUCACAUGGCUGGUGGUCAGACGCAGCCUGCAAAGUGUCUUAAAGAGACAGACUCAGUGGAAAUCAAAGCUUUCUGCCCAGCAGGAUUAGUCAAAUGCACCUAGAAAGCAGGAUGUGUGGGCUGAAUCAAUUCUCAGAGGACCUCAACCGAGUCUAGCUUUUUCUCUCAGCCUUCAAGAGCGUCGGCAUAAAGGUCAUGUUAAGGCUAAGUCCAGGCUGGGCCCAGCCUGCCCACACAUCUGCACGUGCUCUGCUGGCUGGGAAAUCCUGCAGAGCUCACAGAUCCUUUCUCCUCCUGUCACCAGCCGGUUGCUAGAUAUGCCAAGAGUUAAGCCCCUUCCUGCACUGCACUGAAAACAGCCUGUCAGUGUGGCUUCCGCCCGCCCGGUGCAUUUCCACAAAGCGUUCCCCCAGCCUCAGCUAAUCAGGUGAAAGUUAGGACAGUGGUCAAGCCACCAAAAUAGGUCAAGCUUUGGUUUCUAAUCCUCUUAUUCACAACGCAGUAAAAGGGAAGAAUUUAUCAGUGAAAACACCCACAGCUCCUUAACCUUUGAGUUCCUUCGUUUUGGUAAGUAGGAAUAAUGAGGGCUCCUCUGGGAGGAAUAAGUUUAAAAAAUGAUUCAGUGACAACUGUUUACAGCAGGAUCUGUCCUCAGAAAGUGCUUAACAGAUGUGAUAAUUUACUCAUAAUACUGGUGAUACAGUGGGACUUCCACUCAUCUUAAAGUUUUAUCCCUUGAUCAAUUGGACGUGUGGAGAACUUUGCGGCCCCAAUUCUGGCCCUUGUAGGGGGUUGUGGGGAGCAGUACGAGGGCCCAGGCUGACAGCACAAGAAGCUGCUGUGGCCCAGGCUCUGUGGGAAAGAAACAGACAACAGAGAUGCUGCAGUAGCCAGCUGCCCACCUGGCAGCCAGGCUUCCCUUCCUCCCAGGACUACACUUCCCAGCCUCUCUUGCAGCUAGCAGUGGCCGUAAAUGAAGUGGGAAGCUGUUGUGAGGGUUUGAGGAAAUUUCCUCCACAGACAUGAAUCUGGCCUGACUGCAAGCUAUCUAGGGACGACUGACAGCUUUGAUCCAGGGACAGUGAAGCAGAAGGAUCCUUGACGAAUGAUCCUGCUUUUCUGGUGACCUCAGGCGCCACGCUAUGGACAUUUUACUCAGUGGGAAAAUCACCCUGGUGGAGUUUACAAUGCCAUCUUUCGAAUCUCUGCUACUGACAGUCUUUUGCCCUCUUUUGCUUGAAAUAGGUUCUCACUGGCUGGCCUAGAGUAGCCCAAGCUGACCUCAAACUUUUGGUGAUCUUCCUACCUCUCUCUUCCAAGUGCUGGGAUUAUGGGUGUUCACCCUCGCUCUGACAGCCAUCUGGAAUGCACCAUUCAGGUGACACUGUGGUCUUCCACAGGAGAGGACUAGACACCAGAAUUCAGUGGCUGAGCACCUGUUAACAUUUAAAGCAUUCUCGGGCUCCAGGACCUGCACACUGUCCGCAUCGCCAAGGAGAAAGCCACAACGUAGCAUUCCCCAGAACUCUGCUUAUACCGUGGUUACACUGCUUUACUUGAGGUGAGACCAUAAAUGAGCAACAGGGGAUUCGCCGAGUCGUUCACCAGACAACUCUCGAGCAUCGUCCUACAGUGGAUGUGUCAGGGAGAAGUGCCAGGCACUGUGAACUGAGGUACACGCAGACGGGCCCUCAAAGCUCAUAUCCCAGAUAACGAGGAGAAACGCACAGGCGCACACGCGCCAAUGGAAGUACGGGCAUCGGGAAUUAGCAUGUGGAAAGCCAGUAUGAGUUUAAACCUAGAACUUAAAAAAAGGAAGCUACGUGUAAAGGACAUCCACCAUGGGAGCACUGGUUAAGCAAACGCCAUACAUACAUCCAUACCAUGAAUAUUCAGUUAUGGAAAGAAACAAAAACCUGACUUCACGCACAAUAGAGAUGAGUCUUGAAGACGCUAAGUGAAAGAAGCCUAGCUGAGGUGAUGAGGGAGGGGCUGCUGCGGGCUGAGAGGCCGUCUCAGCACCAUUUCUUCUAGCCAGCACUGAGGGUAAGCAGGAUGAGUGUGUCACGGAAGGCAGCACGGUGUCACCCAAAGGUCAUCAUUCUCACUCCACUGGCCAAUGUGUGUCUUCUGAGAGCACGUGACUCUGGGAGCAGAGGACAGAAUGUAAGGGGAGAGCAUGCAGAGCUUCACUGGGCACUAUAGCUGGAAUGCUAAGGGUGCCCCAGGGUAGACCAAGGAGGCAGUCCUGUGGGAACAUGGCCUCUUACAGCAUAUUAAGGACAUGGUAGGAAGAUAGGCAUGAUAGGGCAUGCAUUUAAUCCUAUCACUCAGGAGGCAGAGGCAAGCAGAUCUCUGUGAGUUCAAUGCUAGAUUGGUUUACAUAGUGAGUUCCAGAUCAGGCAGGAGGACAUACAAAUACCCUGUCUCCAAGAAAAAGAAAAGGUAGGGGCAUUCACAAUCCACGUGCAGCUUUCUAUCACCAACAGAGAGGCGCCCAGGUGAGCAUCAAGGCCAGUGCCACCACUCCCACCUGUGCACUGCUCCCACCUGUGCACUGCUCCCACCUGUGCACUGCUCCCACCUGUGCACUGCUCCCACCUGUGCACUGCUCCCACCUGUGCACUGCUCCCACCUGUGCACUGCUCCCACCUGUGCACUGCUCCUACCUGUGCACUGCUCCCACCUGUGCACUGCUCAUCACUCUUUGAGGAGCAUAUGUUUUGACACUGUGACAACACUGCUCUAAGUGUCCCUUUGCACCAGGGCUAUGUCUUUCUGUAGGGUGUUGCUUUAGGACUGGCAGUGCUAGGUCAAUGCUGAUUUCCAAGUCAAGCUGAGUGCUUCUUCCAUUUAUUGAGAGGACAGCUGACACAGGGGUCCCCUGUGUGGGGUGUGGGGGCUCAGGGUGGCAGGGACUGGGUAAGGAGUCUCUCUGUUCACUCUACACCUCGCUGCUUUUUUCUGAAUGUUUCCUCACAUGCGCAUUCUGCUCAUUCAAACAAGUAAGAAGCCCUCCCCCUGCUGACUUCUGUAAAGGUCGCAGUGAUUCACUUUCCCCAGCAGCUAGGUAGACUCACUCAGUUCAUUCAUGCCCUACAUAUUCCUCCCUCAAGGCUGUGCACAUACACAUGUGCACACACAUGACACGUUUCUCCCCCUUUCCUCUCUUCCUUUUGAACCUGGAAUGGGCUGAGGCACAUCAUAGUCACCGUCUUUAGACUUGUGGUCCCUUCUAGUCUCCGGCCAGUAGGAUGGCAUGCUGAAUUCCCACAGUUGCAGCUCUGACAAGACGCCUGGCCAGGGCUGGGCCCAGGUCUUCAGGGCCUGUGGGCCCUGAUGGCGGAAGGAGACAAGGACACUCUCCACAGCCGAUUUCUAAUUCACCCUAGCGGAGCUAACCUCAACAGCUGGGUGACACAGAGUUCCCUAGAAGCCUGAGGCCCUCCUGAAAGGGCUAGGGAGACCUGCAGCAGCAGCGGCAGCAGCCAUCACUCUUGGGAUCUGUACUCCCAGGAAGAAGGAAGAAGGCCCAGAGGGAAGGGACAAUGCUUGAGGGACAAUCACCUCAUACAAACAAGAUGGCUUCUGAUACAUCUCCUCCAGCCCUGGCUUCUCCUUGACCCAGAACCAAAUCCUGCCCGGUUGGUACUGAGUCCCUGGGAAGGCAAAGCAAUCUGAACUCUGCCAUGGUGGGGAGAACUUCAAGGCAUGGGGGAGCAUGAGAGACUGUCCACAGGUUUCCUGCUGGGCACAGUGGUUCAUGCCUCUAACCCAGCACUCACUCAGAAGGCUGAGGCACGAGGAUCAUGCAGAGUUCAGGGCCAGCCUGGGCAACGGAGUGAGAUCUCAAAACAAACACAAAGUUCCAGUGAGACGCACACCUGUGAUCCCAGCACUUAAGAGGCGGAGGAAGGAAGAGCAGGGGGCCGAGGUCAGCCUGUGUAAGCUGCCUGCACAGCUGUGGGAAUGUGCAUCACCCUGUAUGCAUCUCCGGAAGUCUGAGAAGAAAGAAAUGCACUCCUAACUCCCACUGACGAUCAGCACCGUGAAGAGGGAAGCUCGCUGCCUUCCCGUCUUUCCCCUGAGGAAGCGGCAGACGGGCUCUCUUUUUCAGUCCUUCACCCAGGCUUUCCCAGGAGACUUUAGAUAAGUAAAAAAUGGCAUUUGAGUACACGAUGAAAAUUGUUAGGGAAAAAAGUCAAAGCUAUGUGUUUAUAUCUUUAAAUAGUGAUAAACAUUAAAGCUCUUUCUCCCAAUGGGAGGCUGGAGGAGGAUGAGGCUUCUUUUUCUUGAGUUUCUGCAUCCAAUGGAGCCCUUAGUACAGGCACACAACCAAGUCAGACAGUGCUGGGGACGGGGUUUGUUAACUGUGCAACUUCUGUUUUGGCCGGUUCUUUUCUUUAUUUUGGGGAUGGGGUUGAGGUACAUGCUUGGUCUUAAUCUGGAGCACGGGUCGUCUUAGAAUGUCCUAGAGUAAAUAGCUCAGGAUGUCCUUGAACUUGAGACACUUCUCCUUCCUAUCUCAGACUCCAGAAUACUAGAACUUGUGAGCCAAGUUCUAGCUUAAAAGCCAUGUCUGGCUUAAAAGAGGUGAAGCUUAAAACUUUACAGUGAUUAUUUUAUUAACCCCUAUUAUCUCAGGGGGUGAGCACGACUAUCAUUUUACAAAGAUGUGAGGCACAGAGACCUAGUGACUUUCCUAAUGUCACAUGACAACUAAGAGGCAAUGUAGGGACUUGAACCCAGGACACCUGGCCCCAUGUCUUCGCUUUCCCCUGUUCUGCAGUCAGGACACCAAUGACAAGCUUCGGGGCCAGGCUGCCAAGAGCUGCAUCACCACUAUUCAUCCUUCUCUUCGACUCAUUCUGUUUCCUGAAGGAAAUGAGAGAUUGCUGGAAUUCAGCAAAAGUGAGACAACGGAAGCUGCAGCUGACCACAGGCCCACGUGGGUCUUCUGCAGGGCCUUUGGGGAAAAUUCCUAAGUGAUGACCUUACUGCACAGACCAAAGGCCAGAUCCUGGGUGGGUCACCCUCUGCUGCCUGGGACACACCCAGUACCAGAUGGGACUGGGCCUCAUCUACCUUCCACAGCAUGGAGGAGAAGAGAAGACAGAGGACGAGAGCUGUUGGCUCAUAGCCACAAAUCCUUGCCCAGGAGACCGAGGAGAGGCCGAUGACCAUGAGUGUACAGACACUGAGGGCUGCCCAUGUGUGUUCAGAGCGUGACGGGGGCAGGGGCCUGGUGAAGCCCCACGGAGCUCAGUCAGUCGUUACGCAGAUCCUUGUGGGAAAGCAGAUAGUGGCUUCCCCAGCUCACAGGGAAAUCAGACCUACCAGUGAGAGGAAUCCUGGAAAUUAACCACUGGGGAGAUCUGUCUCGCCUCCCAAUCAGGAAGAGAUGAGAAAUCAUGACUUUGGAGGGAAAACUAAGAUCAUACCAAACGCUGAGCCAAAGAGUCCUAACCCAAGGGACCACAGUGUCACAGACAGGACAGUGCCCGACAAUGACAGCCCAAACUACUUUAGUAUAACUUCUCACAAACAUGCACUGUCAUUCAGUCUCUUGUCCUCUUCUGUCUCUUUCUGCUUCUAUGUCUGUCUGUCUGUCUAUUUUGUUAACAUUCCAAAGAAUUAAGAAAAGGUGUAAUAAACAUCCAUGACUCGAACCCCAACUUAACAGCUGUCAAGACUGCAACAUUUGCUUCAGCUUCUCCCAUUUCUCCUCAUACUGAAAUAUCGUUUUUGAACAAGGUUCCUCCGUGUAGCUCUGGGUGUCCUGCAACUCCCGGUGUAGACCAGGAUGGCCUCAAACCCCUGCCUCUGCCUUCCCAGUGCUGGGAUUAAGGGAGCGUGCCACCAUGACUGGCCUGAAGUGCUUGUUAAGACAAGUCCCAGACACCAUGUUGCUCCAAAUUAUGUACUCCAGUUUGCAGCUCUGAAGAAUAUGGGUGUUUUGAAUUGUACCCAAUGGUGGUAUACGCCUGGAACCCCAGCACCCAAAGAGUUGAAGCCAGAGAAUUGCUACAAGUCUGAGGCCAGUGUAAGUUACACAGCAACUCCCUCAAAAACAUAAAACAAAAUAAAGGGCAGCCCAGGGAGUGAGGAAGAGGGGAGAGGGUCGGUAGGGAGGGUGGGGAACAGGGCACACUGGUUCUGUUCUCGAUCCCAGUGAGUGUGAACAAGCACACAGACCCAGGACUGACAGACCCCAGAGCAGGGUAGUGGGGCACCUCGGUUCUUGAGAUGGAGCCAUCCUUGCCUUUCUGGAAGGCCUCUUUGCAGUGCAAAUCCAAGAAAAGCUUCGCAGGCCCUGGGCUCUCCUGUACCCAUCAGAGAAAGUCCUCUGAAGUCGACCACGUGCCUGGCAGUGCCCAGGGUUACCCGGCUCUUUCACAACUGAGCCUGGGUUUGACCUGAAACAGGUGCUGGCAUGAUGCCAAGUGAGACCUAACAAAUUAGGUCAUAGUCACAAGCUCCUGGGUGCUCCUGACUCUGAUGGUGAAUGUCUGCAGAGGGGAACCUCCCAGACCUGAGGUAUGAGGAGGCAGUGAUGGGUCUAUCCCUGCAGCUGUUUAGGGGAAAUCUGAGUUAGACAAUGAUGGCAUCAUAUUACACACAGUGUGUGUAUUAGGGCACAUAUGGUGUGCCCAGCCUCCUUUCCCCCGACCCCCGGCCCCCAGCAUCCCCUCUGUAGCUAGGCAUCCCUGUUCCUUGGAGUAGGGUGGGUGAAAACAGGGUGGGUACUGAGCACUGUCUUUAGUCUUAGCAGAGGCCAAACACUUUGAGUUUGGGGCCAGCCUGGUCUAUGGAGUGAGUUCCAGAGUGGCUAGGGGAUACGUGGUGAGACUGUUUCAAAAAAGGAGCUUGGGACUGGGAGAUGCUGGGCAAAGGACACCAAGGUUCAGGUACAUAGGAGGAACAAGGUCAGAGGAGGUAGCUGUAGGCUCUUCUAACAGGAAACAAUGAUGCGAAGUAGUGUACAUGUUAACGAGUGAGCCGACCCACAGUGUACAUGUAUACCAAAGUCCACGAUGUUCCCCAUCAACAUAAACAGGGUCGGGGUGGGGUUCAUCAGAGUUCCGGGGUGCAUUCCCAACACACCUUCGAUCACCCCAAUCUUCAGUGUCUAGAAUUUCCACUUAUCCAAAGAAAUGAAAAUGGAAACUAUAAAUCCUCUUUCUAUUAGGGUAACAAGGGGCUCUGUACCUGGAUCCAGUGUGCUGGCACACUAAGGGCAACAUGGCUGGAGCAGAGCCUGUGAAAGGGUGGGGGACCUAUGACAUGGAAUGCACACACCCACUCAAGCCGACAGAGGCUCUACUCCUCCAGACUUCCUGACUGUAUAAGAAGAGGCAAUUCCCAACGGCCUUGAUUAGCCCCCAGCCCACACCGCCCAAUCCACUUUCCCACACCACUUCCAGGAACCUGGCGGAACUCGGGCUUCACUUUAGCAUCCAGCCGUCACUCCUCUCAGUUCCCGGGUGGGCCCAGGCAGAAUCUACUCUUACUGAUGCUCCACAUGACCCAGACUCACCCGCCUGUGUUACGGCCAUCUGGGUGUCUGGGCCCUGCUGGGGAGGUGGUGUCUACAGGAGGUAAGACCACAGGCUCUGCAGGCCAAGAAACUAUGGGUUCCACCUUCUCUGGGCACUCUAAGCUCUUUGGAUCCUGGCAAGCCAUUUUCCCUUCCUUCUGGAGGUGAUUUUAAUGAGAAUGGUCUGUAUGGGCUAAUACAGCUGACCAGUUGGUUCCCUACUGGUGGACUUGUUUGGGAAGGAUUAGGAGGUGUGGCUUUGUUGGAGGAGGUAUGUGACAGGGCUUUGAGAUUUGAAAAGCCCAGUCCAUUUCCAGUUAGCUCUGUCUCUAUGCCUCAUAGUGGUUGUCCUGACAUGUGAGCUCUCAGCUUCUGCUCCGGUUCUGGGGCUGCCUGCCGCUGCUCUCCCCGCCAUGAUGGUCAUGGACUCGCCCUCUGAAACUGUAAAGUAAAUCCCUAUUUAAACGCCAUCUUGCAUAAGUUGCCUUGGUUUUGGUAUCGCUUCACAGCAACAGAUGGGUAACUGAGGCACUUGCAAUCCUUAACUCUUCCUGUCUGCGGAGGACACAGGAGCAAUCCGAAGCCAUAGCGGACAGCUGCCCGUGCAGCUGAAGGCCACUGCCAGCCCUUCUCUGACUUGCACUGGACAUCCAUGGGUUUUUCACCAUCCCUCCUCUAGCUAGGGGACUCCUUUACGGACAAAGAGAUAUAAAAGCCUCUGCUAGGCUUACAGUCCUUUCAAGACCACAUGACAGCCAAUGGACUAGCCAAGGAGCCUCUGCACUGACAGGUUUGUCUUCCUCAGGCUGUUUGAAGCCACAAUAAGUCGUCUCUACCGCCUGGCCCAGAUUCGCCAGGUAUCCUGUGACCUGCGUGCAGAGGUGUCGCAGUAGAUAGCCUCGCAGAGUGAAGACUCAAGACCAUUCAGAGCAGAAGCACUUGCCACACUGACACUCAACAUCCGUGAAAGUCCUUAGUGCUCGCACAAGCAGACCCUUGCGGGGUAAAAGGUGCUGGCAGCAAACACUCUGUCCUUCCACUUCAUCACCCUCCUACCGCCUACCCUGGAGGAACUGCGGCUACUGGGAUGCCGCUCCACUCUGAGUGGCUGUCAUCGCAUCUUCAGUGGCACUUGAGAACCAAGGAGGAGGUGCAAGGAGGGUCGGCAGCCUCCACGGUGAGCUGCAGCUUUCGCAGAACUGAGAAGCACAAGGGUGCACCUAGCCCGCCCCAUGCUUCUCGCUCCUCUGUCACCCAGGUCCGUCCUUCCAGUGGCCAGUGUUCACCCUGCUCAGACCCCGGUGCCCUUACUUACUUACUUUGCACUUUGUUCUAACUAGCCUUGUUUUAUUUUUGGCUUCAAAACCAACAACGGGCCACACCCAGAGCAGAAAUGGCACGGAGUACUAGGCUUUGCUGUUUAAAUUCUUUUCCUGUUACGCAUGAAAAUAAAAGUAAGGCUGUUAAAUUGCGGAGUGUUUACUCAAACACCACCUCCAAUUACCCUGUGGGAGGGAGGAGCGGCCUGGGGACGGAAGCCUGCCCCUUUCUGUCCAGCUUCCCUCUUGCAAGUCACAUUAUUUAGUCCUCAAAGGCCAACUUUCUGGAGAGAAGGAAGUUUGCGCAGGAGGCCCACAUCACCGUCUAUAACAGCAAAGAUGGCGUUUUCUAAAGUUAACCCGCUCCUAACACCGCUCUGUGCCUACUGUCUCCUGGCUGACUGCUGGGCUUUGGGCCCACGUCCUGAAGCAGUGGUUAGAUCUGAUGGCUCAUGCUUCACUGACUGACUCACAGGACGCUCACGGCAUCUUCCUGGGUAGGGACAUUACUUCUCUGGCUUGGGGCUGAGGAAAUAUAGCCCCUAAAGGGGAAAGCCACUCACUCAAGCGAGGCCCCAGGGCUGGGAGUGGUAGCUCCAGAGGCCCUGCCCUCACCCACCUGCUGACACAACCUUUCCAGGCACUGAGCAUGCUCACUGGGUAUUAGGCUCUGGGCUGACCUCAGUUGCCGCCUGCUCCCAGCUCCCACCCAAACAACCCAAUGAAGUCUUUAAAAUGAAGAGCCGAGGCUCAGGGUAGUGAAGUCACCCACACACAGCCACAACUCCAGCACACGUGAAGCCAGAAUAUUGUUUCCUGGCAAUGUAACUCCAAAGCUAUCGACUUGCAGGCUCCAGCACCCCAGACCCAGGUUCACCAAGAGCCCCUCUUCUGUAUCUUGUCCCUAGAAAGAUGCUGAGAAAGACCAGUCUCCAAAGUUAGGGAAUGACAGUGGGUCACUUCUGCACCAGAGCCUCAGAAGUCUCUUUGUCGAGUCUAUAGAGAAAACUACAGGCAGCAGUUGCCCUGUUCCAGACACCACCAUUCUGCAUGGGCCUACUGGACACUCUCAGGAUCUAGGCCAGGGCUUCCCGGGUGGCAACAGUGACCAGUGAGAGCUUUUUCCUUGGGGGUGAGUAGGCCUGGAGUGUCUCAACCUUCCCAGGAUUCCAUGCUGAUAGGACCUUCCUCUGUCCCCAUACAGACUGACUGGCAAAGCUCUGCCCAACUGUCCUGUAGCCAUGGAGGGGAGACUUUGAGGACUUAGUUGGAGUUCUUGCCUGGGCUUCAUGAAGCCCCGACUUUUAUUCUUCAGAGGUAUGGGUCUUAGGCUUGUGAUCCUCAGGACUCAGUGAGGAAGGCCUUGUUCAUCAAGGUCAUCCUUAUAAUCAUAGCCAGUUUCAAAUGAGUGUGGACUACAUGAGACACCCCAACACACACACACACACACACACACACACACACACACUCACUCACACACACACACACACACUCUCUCUCUCUCUCUGCAUAUGGCCCACACUCAAAUCUCAGUUUUGUCAUUUACUAGCUGUGGGUCACUGGACAAGUUCUUUCCCCUCUCGGUGCCUCAGUUUCCUCAUCUGGAAAGGGGUUAAUCAUAGCACUGCCAGUAGAGUUGUUACAGGGAUUAAGUCAGAGCCAGUGUUGGCUAUUGUCAGUUCUAGCAGCCCAAUGAAGCAGUCACACUCUGUGAUGACAGGUAUCUCCCAGGCCUCUGAGAUGCUCAAAUCUCCCAGCAGCUAGCUGCAAGUCUUCAAGGAGCAGCAUGCUGGCAAUGCUGACACGCAGGGCAUAUCCACCUGGAGUUAGGAUAGGGCUCUCGGUUCCUACUGAGCAACAAUGACAGCGGCAUCCAUCGGCAAUUAUCUGGCUGUUUGGGAGUUUAUUCACCUCCACUGUGGCCAGGAAGAAGAUCCCGCAAAGGCAAAGCUGGCAUUCCAAAGCCCUCGGUUCCCACAGCAGGCAAGCCAGCAUAAUGAGCACCCAGUGAUGCCAACUAUCUCCUCCCAGCUGCUGUUCACCCUCUGAUGCCCAAGCGCUGCCCCCACCCCCCACACAGACGGAUACUUAGUAAAGAGUGAAUGGAUGAAGAUCCUGGGUGGUUAACAAGAACGCUCACCUCAGCUGGGCCCCUGGCCCUUCCAUCUGCACCCCAGGCAACUGUCCCCCUUCACAGAGUAAGACAUGGGUCUGGAAUGACCUGAAAAUCCAUUUACGGUGGCUUGGAAACACAAGCUGACAUUCCUUAGAAUCCUGGCAAAGGCAUACCUAAGAAGUCGUCCCCUCAGGUCUACCUUUGCGAGCCCUAGACACAUGGCUCUUCAGACACCGCCAGGCCGUAUGAAGGCCAGGGAUGGGAGUGGGGGAGAGGGGCGCACAGAGUUGCCUCUCCUAGCUGUACCAACUAGCACAGCAGUGAAUCCCAUCUGUCCCCCUGCAGGGGCUGGCUCAGGAAAGCUCCAGCAAUCCCACUGCCCAGGUGAGGGCCCGAGGCCCAGUGUGGAUAUGCCAACCCUGAACCGGCAGUGCAAGGUGUCAAGUUAACGAACUAUCUAAAUUCCAUGAGAUGGAAUGCCCCAAAUCCAUGGGAGACCUCAGGCUGGGACAUGUUACACCGGAACCCCAGCUUCCUAGUCUGUAACACUGAGCUCAAGCCGGGUCCGCUUUGUGGGGCCAGGGAAAGGACUCCAGAGGGCAGACACAAUGGAUACCAACAAGCAACGCUCACCCUCCUUCCUGCCUCUUAACUCUUUCAGCAAACACAAA
rnacentral:sRNA from 1 species